rnacentral:rRNA from 1 species
GACGAACGCUGGCGGCGUGCUUAACACAUGCAAGUCGAGCGGUAAGGCCCUUUCGGGGGUACGACGAGCGGCGAACGGGUGAGUAACACGUGGGUGACCUGCCCUCAGCUCUGGGAGUAAGCCUGGGAAACGUGGGUCUAAUACUGGAUAUGACUCCACGGUGCAUGUCGUGGGGUGGAAAGCCUUGUGCGGCUGAGGAUGGGCCCGCGGCCUAUCAGCUUGUUGGGUGGGGGG